rnacentral:rRNA from 1 species
UACGUAGGUGGCAAGCGUUGUCCGGAUUUACUGGGCGUAAAGGAUGCGUAGGCGGACAUUUAAGUCAGAUGUGAAAUACCCGAGCUUAACUUGGGUGCUGCAUUUGAAACUGGGUGUCUAGAGUGCAGGAGAGGUAAGUGGAAUUCCUAGUGUAGCGGUGAAAUGCGUAGAGAUUAGGAAGAACACCAGUGGCGAAGGCGACUCUCUGGGACGGUACUGACGCUGAGACGCGAAAGCGUGGGGAGCGAACAGG